GAGUGCGUAAGYGGCAGGCUGUAGUCCAGAUUACAUGGGUUUAAGUCNUGUUUCUAUCA
rnacentral:tRNA from 1 species